GGGUCCGGGUAUAUCGCCCGGAGGAGUUUCUAGUGGUCGGGCCGCCACCU
rnacentral:ncRNA from 2 species